rnacentral:rRNA from 1 species
UCGAGAAUCUUCGGCAAUGGGCGCAAGCCUGACCGAGCGACGCCGCGUGGGGGACGACGGCCUUCGGGUUGUAAACCCCUGUCGGGGGGGAGCAAGGGGGUAUGAAGAAUACUCCUCGAGCGAUCCCCGGAGGAAGCACGGGCUAAGUUCGUGCCAGCAGCCGCGGUAAGACGAACCGUGCGAACGUUAUUCGGAAUCACUGGGCUUAAAGCGCGUGUAGGCGGGCCGGCACGUCCGGUGCUGAAAGCCCCCGGCUCAACCGGGGAACGGGCACGGAUACGACCGGCCUGGAGGGGGGUAGGGGGACCUGGAACUUCCGGUGGAGCGGUGAAAUGCGUUGAGAUCGGAAGGAACGCCCGUGGCGAAAGCGAGGUCCUGGGCCCUUACUGACGCUGAGACGCGAAAGCCAGGGGAGCGAACGGGAUUAGAUACCCCCGUAGUCC